CCAAACUUGGUCAUUUAGAGGAAGUAAAAGUCGUAACAAGGUUUCCGUAGGUGAACCUGCGGAAGGAUCAUUAUCGAGUUUUGAAACGGGUUGUAGCUGGCCUCUCCGGAGGCAUGUGCACGCCCUGCUCAUCCACUCUACACCUGUGCACUUACUGUGGGUAUUGGAAGGCGUCGCGUCGUUUAUUACGGCGAGGUGUUGACCGUGCCUACGUUUUACUACAAACGCUUCAGUAUCAGAAUGUGUAUUGCGAUGUAACGCAUCUAUAUACAACUUUCAGCAACGGAUCUCUUGGCUCUCGCAUCGAUGAAGAACGCAGC
rnacentral:misc_RNA from 1 species